rnacentral:rRNA from 1 species
GACGAACGCUGGCGGCGUGCUUAACACAUGCAAGUCGAACGAAGUCGCGCACGUGUGAGUAACGCGUAAUCAACCUGCCCUUCAGUGGGGUACAACAGUUGGAAACGACCUCUAAUACCGCAUUCGGAAGGUGGGGAUUGCGUCUGAUUAGCUGGUUGGGGGGGUAACGGCCCACCACGGCGAUGAUCAGUAGCCGGGCUGGGAGGAUGAACGGGCAAAUUGGGACGAAGAGACGGCACAGACGCCUAAGGGAGGCAGCAGUGGGGAAUCUUCCGCAAUGGACGAAAGUCUGGCGGAGCAACGCCGCGUGAGUGAUGACGGGGUUCGGGUUGUAAAGCUCUGUUAAUCGGGACGCGGUACCGGAAUAGAAAGCCACGGCUAACUACGUGCCAGCCGCCGCGGUAAUUC